UGCCCCCCUGUCUCCUAUUGCUGUUUUUCUGGGGGUUUUCUCUGCCUUCUCCCUCUUCCAGAGAACGGAAGGGCGGGGGAAAGGAGAAUGCUCGGCGCCUGCGCACUAGCCGGAAGCCGCUGACCGGCCCGCCGCGAGCGGCGGUAGAGGGCCCCACGCGUGCCUGGGGAAUGGCGGGAAGCCGAAGAGGCUCGAGGCUCGGGCAUGCGCACACAGUCAACUGCCUACCGGGUGCGCGAGAAGCCCCCUUGUCUUGCGUGGGGAGGGCGUCCCCUGAGACUGGGUUCUGGAGCCUAGAGAAACAUCUCUUCAUUCUCAGCGACAGAAAAAGCAGACCUCAAACCUUCCCUUUCCAUCCUGCUCCUCCUCCUCUCCCUCCUAGAGCACAGGACCAGCUGUGGCCCUGAGAGACACCCUCUUCUCAGCCCUCAGAGAGACGGUCCAGCCUUUCAAGGAGGGAUAGACCUCUGGGCUGAGGCCAUCAUGGCCGGCCCUUCGGACUACUUGGCCCUCACGGGAGCCCCCAGCUUCUGGAUUGGGGCUGCACGGCCUCCCCUCAGGCUGCUUCAACAAGUAGCCCCUCAUUCCAUGGAUGAGACUCGCCUGCCCGCUUCGGCCUGACCGGAUCGGGGCCUGAGCGCCGAGGAGCUGGAACCCCCUCCGUCCCACCCCAGGGGCCCGGCCGCCUGCGUCAGAGGAGGGGGCAGUGAUGGCGGCCGCCGGAGCCUGGGGCCCAGCCGCCUCCGAUACGGCUCCACGCAACUCUCCCUUCAUCCAGCCUUAACCUUGCCCGGGACUUCGGCAGACCCCGCAGCCCCUCUCCCACGGCCCAGUUCCUCUCCCACGGCACCCUUCCUGAGAACCUAACCUCCAGGCCAUCGAGCCCAGCUGAACUCGGCCUCUCGGGGUGAGGGGGACGGCCUGGCAGAGGAGCGGGUGCCUUCCUGCCCGCCCGUGGCCGACCUGGAGAGCUCAAAUAUAGCCGAGGCAGGUAUUUUCCACCUAGUGGGCAUGGAAAGGCCACGGGGAUGAGAAAACUGAGGUCCAGAGAGAACAAAUGGAAUGCCCAAGUUCACAAAGCAUGUGAAUACAGGUCUUCUUUCUUCCUCCGCUGAGACCCUGCCCAGCAGAUGAAAUGAAGGAGAUUCCUAGAACAACAGUGAGGUACGUAAAAAAAGACUUCAGAGGCUUUUCAAAGCCUGCUGCAAAAAAUACUUAGCUUAUGACCCAUUUCUGUAAAAUAAGAACAUGAAACUAUGUUACGGACUAUUGAUGAAUACAAACAUAUAUAAAAAGGACGGGUGAAAUCGCUGUAAAAACUUUCCUACAUAGGAUGAGACCCUCACCCACCAGCAAGUCGUUACC